rnacentral:rRNA from 1 species
AGAGUUUGAUCAUGGCUCAGAUUGAACGCUGGCGGCAGGCCUAACACAUGCAAGUCGAGCGGUAGCACAGAGAGCUUGCUCUCGGGUGACGAGCGGCGGACGGGUGAGUAAUGUCUGGGAAACUGCCUGAUGGAGGGGGAUAACUACUGGAAACGGUAGCUAAUACCGCAUAACGUCGCAAGACCAAAGUGGGGGACCUUCGGGCCUCAUGCCAUCAGAUGUGCCCAGAUGGGAUUAGCUAGUAGGUGGGGUAACGGCUCACCUAGGCGACGAUCCCUAGCUGGUCUGAGAGGAUGACCAGCCACACUGGAACUGAGACACGGUCCAGACUCCUACGGGAGGCAGCAGUGGGGAAUAUUGCACAAUGGGCGCAAGCCUGAUGCAGCCAUGCCGCGUGUGUGAAGAAGGCCUUCGGGUUGUAAAGCACUUUCAGCGGGGAGGAAGGCGUUAAGGUUAAUAACCUUGGCGAUUGACGUUACCCGCAGAAGAAGCACCGGCUAACUCCGUGCCAGCAGCCGCGGUAAUACGGAGGGUGCAAGCGUUAAUCGGAAUUACUGGGCGUAAAGCGCACGCAGGCGGUCUGUCAAGUCGGAUGUGAAAUCCCCGGGCUCAACCUGGGAACUGCAUUCGAAACUGGCAGGCUAGAGUCUUGUAGAGGGGGGUAGAAUUCCAGGUGUAGCGGUGAAAUGCGUAGAGAUCUGGAGGAAUACCGGUGGCGAAGGCGGCCCCCUGGACAAAGACUGACGCUCAGGUGCGAAAGCGUGGGGAGCAAACAGGAUUAGAUACCCUGGUAGUCCACGCUGUAAACGAUGUCGAUUUGGAGGUUGUGCCCUUGAGGCGUGGCUUCCGGAGCUAACGCGUUAAAUCGACCGCCUGGGGAGUACGGCCGCAAGGUUAAAACUCAAAUGAAUUGACGGGGGCCCGCACAAGCGGUGGAGCAUGUGGUUUAAUUCGAUGCAACGCGAAGAACCUUACCUGGUCUUGACAUCCACAGAACUUUCCAGAGAUGGAUUGGUGCCUUCGGGAACUGUGAGACAGGUGCUGCAUGGCUGUCGUCAGCUCGUGUUGUGAAAUGUUGGGUUAAGUCCCGCAACGAGCGCAACCCUUAUCCUUUGUUGCCAGCGGUCCGGCCGGGAACUCAAAGGAGACUGCCAGUGAUAAACUGGAGGAAGGUGGGGAUGACGUCAAGUCAUCAUGGCCCUUACGACCAGGGCUACACACGUGCUACAAUGGCAUAUACAAAGAGAAGCGACCUCGCGAGAGCAAGCGGACCUCAUAAAGUAUGUCGUAGUCCGGAUUGGAGUCUGCAACUCGACUCCAUGAAGUCGGAAUCGCUAGUAAUCGUAGAUCAGAAUGCUACGGUGAAUACGUUCCCGGGCCUUGUACACACCGCCCGUCACACCAUGGGAGUGGGUUGCAAAAGAAGUAGGUAGCUUAACCUUCGGGAGGGCGCUUACCACUUUGUGAUUCAUGACUGGGGUGAAGUCGUAACAAGGUAACCGUAGGGGAACCUGCGGUUGGAUCACCU